GACGAACGCUGGCGGCGUGCCUAAUACAUGCAAGUAGGACGCAGUUGCGAACGGGUGAGUAACGCGUAGGUAACUACCUAUUAGAGGGGGAUAACUAUUGGAAACGAUAGCUAAUACCGCAUACUAGUAGAUGGACCUGCGUUGUAUUAGCUAGUAGGUAGGGUAAUGGCCUCACUAGGCAACUAUACAUAGCCGACCGGAAAGGGUGGUCGGGCAAACUGGGACUGGAACAAGGCCCAGAAUACUACGGGAGGCAGCAGUAGGGAAACUGCGGCAAUGGGGGGAACCCUGACCGGGCAACGCCGCGUGAGUGAAGAAGGUUUUCGGAUCGUAAAGCUCUGUUGUUAAGGAAGCGGUACUUAACCAGAAAGGGACGGCUAACUACGUGCCAGCAGCCGCGGUAAUAC
rnacentral:rRNA from 1 species